GGAGGCGUGAGUCCUCCCCGGAGCCUCUCGGUCCGGCGGCCGCGCUGGCUGGGUCCGCCCUGGGCAGGCUGAGGUGUGGCGGGCGAGCCGGCGAGCGGAGGGGCGGCGUCCUGACGGGCGGGGCGACCCGGAGCUGCGGAGCGGGGUGGACAGGUGGGCGUGGGCUGCGCGGCCGGCGGAACCGGCCGGCCAUCCCUCCGCGGCCCUGCCGCCUGGGCUGCGCUGGCUGCUGGGGUCAAAUCCCAGCUGACCUUUCCCCCCGGAGGAAAGAUAAAUUAUUGUGGUUGUGUGUGAGCGUCAGUGCAAAUGUUUUCCGAGCCCUCCUCGGGCUCAGGGUGCCUUUUGGAUCCCCCCGCAUUCCUCAGCCCCGGGCAGGGAGCGGCGGCGCCCUUUGUGUCUCCGGGGAGCGCACGCCACCUCGGGGAAAACGGCGAACCCGAGUUAGACCCGGGAAGAGACACUAGCAGAGAAGAGCAUCUGUCCUCCAGGCUGGGCUUUGUCUCCGUUUGCCCUGCGACUGCACUAGCGCAGCAAGGCUACAUAAGGAGGCUUUUCAGCAGAGGAGCCUGGUGUUGAACUCGUGCCAUGGGGAAUGAAUUCUUCUAUAGACCCCUCGUCCU
rnacentral:lncRNA from 1 species